rnacentral:rRNA from 1 species
UACGUAGGGGGCAAGCGUUGUCCGGAUUUAUUGGGCGUAAAGAGCGUGUAGGCGGCCAGGCAGGUCCGUUGUGAAAACUCGAGGCUCAACCUCGAGACGUCGAUGGAAACCGUCUGGCUAGAGUCCGGAAGAGGAGAGUGGAAUUCCUGGUGUAGCGGUGAAAUGCGCAGAUAUCAGGAAGAACACCUAUGGCGAAGGCAGCUCUCUGGGACGGUACUGACGCUGAGACGCGAAAAGCGUGGGGGAGCGAACAGG